UCUGCCCUGACAAAUGUUGUAGGUAUGGCUACUGUGUCCCAUGUGCCUCAAUAGGUGACAGAGAGGAGAGAGGCUAUUUCUAUGCUGAGUAUUCUGAUUUAUGAACAUCUGACAUAGCCUAACAUU